UCAGUUCAUGUUAUUACACCUGCAACCAAUAAGAGGAUCUCUAGCAUGGACUCUGCAUGCUUGAGGUCGACCAGCGAGAACACGGGGCGUCCCGCUGCUCACAUCUCCCUGUUUACCACCGUCUCAUUCCUUUAUGCUGAUCCAUCACCGCCUGCUGUCUGCCACCUGGAGACUGCGGCUCGCAGCCUGGAAUAAAAGAUGUCCCACUUUGGUUUUUACUCUGAACCCUCCAGAAGACACAAUGAGCUCAAUUUUGGCUAUAAUUAUAAACUUUUGUCCAUCGGGACAAUAUUUCUUUAGUGAGCAGACUAAGUCAAAUCAGCAGAAUGUUUGCUGCUCACAUGGAUAGUCCACGCUAUACCCCCAGAAAAAUUGUAAACAAAGGGGACAGAAGCAGGACCAUCAAGGGGACAGAAGCAGGACCAUCACUACAUGCAGCCACUGGCAUCUUUAAACAUGAACGAUUAAGCACUGUUUAUUAGGAAUAAACAGCAG